rnacentral:rRNA from 1 species
UACGAAGGGGGCUAGCGUUGCUCGGAAUCACUGGGCGUAAAGGGUGCGUAGGCGGGUCUUUAAGUCAGGGGUGAAAUCCUGGAGCUCAACUCCAGAACUGCCUUUGAUACUGAAGAUCUUGAGUUCGGGAGAGGUGAGUGGAACUGCGAGUGUAGAGGUGAAAUUCGUAGAUAUUCGCAAGAACACCAGUGGCGAAAGCGGCGCGCUGGACCACAACUGACGCUGAGGAACGAAAGCUAGGGGAGCAAACAGG